rnacentral:rRNA from 1 species
AUUGAACGCUGGCGGCAGGCCUAACACAUGCAAGUCGAACGGUAACAGGAAUCAGCUUGCUGAUUCGCUGACGAGUGGCGGACGGGUGAGUAAUGUCUGGGAAACUGCCUGAUGGAGGGGGAUAACUACUGGAAACGGUAGCUAAUACCGCAUAACGUCGCAAGACCAAAGAGGGGGACCUUCGGGCCUCUUGCCAUCGGAUGUGCCCAGAUGGGAUUAGCUAGUAGGUGGGGUAAUGGCUCACCUAGGCGACGAUCCCUAGCUGGUCUGGGAGGAUGACCGGCCACACUGGAACUGAGACACGGCCCAGACUCCUACGGGAGGCAGCAGUGGGGAAUAUUGCGCAAUGGGGGGAACCCUGACGCAGCAACGCCGCGUGAGUGAAGAAGGUUUUCGGAUCGUAAAGCUCUGUCAAUAGUGAAGAAGGCUUUGAUCUUAAUAGGAUUAAAGAUGACGGUAGCUAUAGAGGGAGCUCCGGCUAACUACGUGCCAGCCGCCGCGGUAA